rnacentral:rRNA from 1 species
GUGGGGAAUAUUGGACAAUGGGCGAAAGCCUGAUCCAGCCAUGCCGCGUGUGUGAAGAAGGUCUUCGGAUUGUAAAGCACUUUAAGUUGGGAGGAAGGGCAGUAAGUUAAUACCUUGCUGUUUUGACGUUACCGACAGAAUAAGCACCGGCUAACUUCGUGCCAGCAGCCGCGGUAAUACGAAGGGUGCAAGCGUUAAUCGGAAUUACUGGGCGUAAAGCGCGCGUAGGUGGUUUUGUAAGUUGGAGGUGAAAUCCCCGGGCUCAACCUGGGAACUGCCUCCAAAACUGCAUGACUAGAGGACGGUAGAGGGUAGUGGAAUUUCCUGUGUAGCGGUGAAAUGCGUAGAUAUAGGAAGGAACACCAGUGGCGAAGGCGACUACCUGGACUGAUACUGACACUGAGGUGCGAAAGCGUGGGGAGCAAACAGGAUUAGAAACCCGUGUAGUCC